AGUCAUAUGCUUGUGUUUAAGAUUAGUCCAUGCAUGCCUAAGUACAACUUAUUAAUAGCUAAACUGCGGACGGCUCCAUAGAUCAGUAAUUAUUCGUUAGGUGAUGGAAAUUACUUGGAUAACCCUGUUAAUUGUAGAGCUAAUACAUGCAUCGACAACCUGAUUAAUUAAUUUUAAAAGGGUUGCACUUGUCUAAAAUUAAAUAUUAUCUUUGGAAGUAAAUGAAUUCAAAUGUAAUAGGUUAGGAUAUUAAUGGGGUAAUAUAACCCCACUGAGAAUAUAAGUUAAGAGGAGCAAAAACCAAUUAAGGUGAAGGCUUUAACCAAUUCUUGGACUUAAGAUUUUUAUUAUAUAAUAUUCUCGUAAGGGAGUAUUAUACGAUAAUAAUCGAAAGAAACAUUAUAUUAUUUGGGUUAAUUAUCCGUUUGACCCUAUAUGAUUAAUUUAUUUAUUAUACCCCAGGGGAUAAGGGUGAAACAAGACAAUUCUAAGCUGAUCGCUUUCGAAAGAGGGCGACACACCUUUUGAAUUUCUGACCUAUCAACUCGAUGGUAGGAUAGUGGCCUACCAUGGUUAUAACGGGUAACGGGGAAUCAGGGCUCGAUUCCGGAGAGGGAGCCUGAGAAACGGCUACCACUUCCAAGGAAGGCAGCAGGCGCGUAAAUUACUCCCUGCCAACACGGCGAGGUAGUGACGACAAAUACCAAGGAGAGCCGCUUUAAGUGGCUCUUCAUUGGAAUGAGCAGAAUUUAAAUCUCUCUGCAAGUAACAAUUGGAGGGCAAGUCUGGUGCCAGCAGCCGCGGUAAUUCCAGCUCCAAGAGUGUAUACUAAAGCUGUUGCGGUUAAAACGCUCGUAGUUGAAUUCAAACAUCUGAUAUAAAAUAUUUUAUAUUAAUUAUUUUAAUUAAUUAAAGAAGUAAUUUUUUAAUUAAUUAUAAUAAAUAUAUAAAAUAAUCAGAGAAGUUAAUAACCCUUUAAUUUCUUAAUUUUAAUUAUAAAGUUAUAUUAUAAUUUUAUAAUUAUUAAAACUUUGACCGAAAAGGAAGAAGUAAAAUUAAGAUUAAUUGUUCACCUUGAACAAAUUAGAGUGAUUCAGGCAGGUGUUUAACGCCUUCUUGAAUAUAUUAGCAUGGGACGAACAUUAUCCCAAAAACCAACUGAAUUUAAUUAAUUUGANUUAAAUAAAUAUUUGAAUAAUUAGAAGGUAAUAGCUCAGGAUUAUUAAAUUAUUAUAUAUAAAGUUUAUUAUAUUUAAAAGUUAAUUGGUUUGACUUUUAUAAUACUUUGACUUUAAUAUUGUAGUUAUUUUUGGCGUAUAAUAUAGCCUGAAAUAAUCAAUAUUAAAGAGGUAAAUAAUAAAUUUAUAAUGAUUUAAUAAUUACUCUAUUAUCUGAUAAAGACUAAUUAUUUAAAUUAUUUAAUUUGAAUUAAUUAAUUAAAAUUCAGUCAUAUUAUUAAUUUAUAAUUAAUAAUAUGUUUAUAUUAUUAAAUAGGGACAGUCGGGGUGGUUAAUACUUUGUUGCAAGGGGUGAAAUCCUAUGAUCAACAAAAGAUUAACUAGUGCGAAAGCAUUCCACAAGGAUGUUUUCAUUAAUCAAGAACGAAAGUUGGGGGAUCGAAGAUGAUCAGAUACCGUCGUAGUCUCAACUAUAAACUAUGCCGACCAGAGAUCAGGUGACGCUGUCCGAAUAGGACGCAAGGCUCCCCUGGCAUCUUAUGAGAAAUCAUUGAGUGUCUGGGUUUCGGGGGGAGUAUGGUCGCAAGGCUGAAACUUAAAGGAAUUGACGGAAGGGCACACCAGGAGUGGAGCCUGCGGCUUAAUUUGACUCAACACGGGGAAACUUACCAGGUCCAGACAGUAGAAGGAUUGACAGAGUAAAGAACUUUCUAGAUUUACUGGGUGGUGGUGCAUGGCCGUUCUUAGUUCGUGGUGUGGGCUGUCUGUGUCAAUUCCGUUAACGAACGAGACCUUAACCUACUAAAUAGUUGGAUAAAGGAAUUAAUUUAUAGAAGUUAAUUUAAUUAAGUAAUUAAUUAAGUUAAUGAAAGUUUAUUAAACUUUAUUCAAAAACUAUUAUUGAAAUAAAUUAAGUUAGUAAUAAUUUGAUUUAAAUUAAUAAUAGACCAACUUCUUAGAGGGACUAUUUGCACUUAGUAAAUGGAAGUUUGAGGCAAUAACAGGUCUGUGAUGCCCUUCGAUGUCCUGGGCCGCACGCGCGCUACACUGAUUAGAAGAAAAAGUAAUCGAUUGUUUUUAUAUUUUAUAAUCUGUAAAAGGAUUAUGAGGUAUAAUUUUAACAUCAUACCUUUAUUGAAAAAUAUGGGUAAUCUUUCAAAUCUAAUCGUGAUGAGGAUAGACCUUUGUAACUAUUGGUCUUAAAUGAGGAAUUCCUCGUAGGCGUGGGUCAUCAACUCACGCCGAUUAAGUCCCUGCCCUUUGUACACACCGCCCGUCGCUUCUACCGAUUGGAUGAUCCGGUGAAGAUAAUAGAUGAGGAAAAAUUAUAAAAGGCAACUUUUUAAUUUUGGAUCAGAAGUUAUCUAAACCUUAUUAUCUAGAGGAAGGAGAAGUCGUAACAAGGUUUCCGUAGGUGAACCUGCGGAAGGAUCAUU
rnacentral:rRNA from 1 species